ensembl:lncRNA
AGCUGACAUGAAUUUGAGCAAACUCCGGGAGAUAGUGGAGGAGAGAGGAGCCUGGUGUGCUGCAGUUCACGGGGCUGCAAAGAGUUGAACAAGACUUAGUGACUGAACAACAACAAAUUAUCUGUGAUGGCACAUGGGAAUCAAAGAUAUCAGGGUUUUUGCCAGGCUCAGACACCAACUACCUCUUCCUCUGGACUGUGAAGAAGACUGAGCACCGAAGAAUUGAUGCCUUUGAACUGUGGUGUUGGAGAAGACUCUUGAGAGUCCCUUGGACUGCAAGGAGAUCCAACCAGUCCAUUCUGAAGGAGAUCAGCCUUGGGAUUUCUUUGGAAGGAAUGAUGCUAAAGCUGAAACUCCAGUACCUUGGCCACCUCAUGUGAAGAGUUGACUCAUUGGAAAAGACUCUGAUGCUGGGAGGGAUUGGGGGCAGGAGGAGAAGGGGACGACAGAGGAUGAGAUGGCUGGAUGGCAUCACUGACUCGAUGCAUGAAGACAUCAUGGCUUAUCAGAAACUUCUCUCCAUGAGGAAUUCUAAUUUGCAGUAGGAAGAACAAAGUUCUACAAUUUUAGUACCAAAUUCAAUUCUAAAGUUCUCUAUAUUACUUAUAAGGGAGAAGGUAUUUGCCUUACUCUUCCCCCCACCGAGUAUACAUGCUUCAUCCAACCAGCAAAUGACCCGCAAGACCCCUAUCUCACUCCUUGUAUCCUGGUUAUAAAAGUGGACUAAGGGCCCCUAUUCAACAUCAGUUCUUCCUUGAGCUGGCCCGCUGUUCUAACAGCGUCUCCCACUCUA